rnacentral:rRNA from 1 species
GAGUUUGACUUGGCUCAGGAUGAACGCUAGCGGCAGGCUUAACACAUGCAAGUCGAGGGGUAGAGUUAGCUUGCUAACUUGAGACCGGCGCACGGGUGCGUAACGCGUAUGCAAUCUACCUUGUACAGGGGGAUAGCCCAGAGAAAUUUGGAUUAAUACCCCAUAGUGUUAUGAUGUGGCAUCACAUUAUAACUAAAGUUCCAACGGUACAAGAUGAGCAUGCGUCCCAUUAGCUAGUUGGUGUGGUAACGGCAUACCAAGGCAACGAUGGGUAGGGGUCCUGAGAGGGAGAUCCCCCACACUGGUACUGAGACACGGACCAGACUCCUACGGGAGGCAGCAGUGAGGAAUAUUGGUCAAUGGGCGCAAGCCUGAACCAGCCAUGCCGCGUGCAGGAUGACGGUCCUAUGGAUUGUAAACUGCUUUUGUACAGGAAGAAACACUCCCUCGUGAGGGAGCUCGACGGUACUGUAAGAAUAAGGAUCGGCUAACUCCGUGCCAGCA